CCUCUUCGAUCUGCUGCGGGCAAAUGAAGUGCACAUGGGUGUCGAUGCCGCCGGCGGUGAGGAUCAUGCCUUCGCCGGCAAUCACUUCCGUGCUGGCGCCGAUGGCCAGGGUCACGCCGGGUUGGAUAUCCGGGUUGCCGGCCUUGCCGAUCCCGGCGAUGCGGCCAUUUUUCAGGCCGACAUCGGCCUUGACGAUGCCCCAGUGGUCGAUGAUCAGCGCGUUGGUGAUCACUGUGUCGACCACCUCGGCGGCCAGCAGUUGGCUCUGGCCCUGGCCGUCCCGGAUG
rnacentral:sRNA from 1 species